ACCUGUUACAGGGAGAUAGCCCGGGGAAACUCGGAUUAAUAUCCCAUAGUAUUAUUUUACUGCAUGGUAGAAUGAUUAAAGCCUUCGGGUGGUAACAGACGGGCAUGCGUAGGAUUAGCUAGUUGGUGAGGUAACGGCCCACCAAGGCGACGAUCCUUAGGGGUUCUGAGAGGAAGGUCCCCCACACUGGCACUGAGAUACGGGCCAGACUCCUACGGGAGGCAGCAGUAGGGAAUAUUGGUCAAUGGGCGAGAGCCUGAACCAGCCAUGCCGCGUGCAGGAAGACGGCGUUCUGCGUUGUAAACUGCUUUUAUCUGGGAAGAAAAAGCCCUUGCGAGGGAAAUUGCCGGUACCAGAGGAAUAAGCACCGGCUAACUCCGUGCCAGCAGCCGCGGUAAUACGGAGGGUGCAAGCGUUGUCCGGAUUUAUUGGGUUUAAAGGGUGCGUAGGCGGCUGAUUAAGUCAGCGGUGAAAGUUUUCGGCUCAACCGAGAGACUGCCGUUGAUACUGGUCAGCUUGAGUUAUGGAGGGGUACAUGGAAUUUAUGGUGUAGCGGUGAAAUGCAUAGAUACCAUAAGGAACACCGAUAGCGAAGGCAUUGUACUGGCCAUAAACUGACGCUGAGGCACGAAAGCGUGGGUAGCGAACAGGAUUAGAUACCCUGGUAGUCCACGCCGUAAACGAUGAUCACUCGCUUUAAAGUACGUAGUACUGUGAGGCCAAGCGAAAGCGUUAAGUGAUCCACCUGGGGAGUACGGUCGCAAGAUUGAAACUCAAAGGAAUUGACGGGGGUCCGCACAAGCGGUGGA
rnacentral:rRNA from 1 species